CAGCCGUGCUUGGGUUUCUAAGUACUCAGAUAUUGUUUUGAUCACCCAACAAAAAGGGGAGUCCAACACUGGAUAGACAGAGAGAGAGUAAAGGCUGAAGGUGGACAGGGGAACGUAGUCAACAAAGAACUGAAAGUGAUUCUGAUUCUUUGAGGACAGACCACCGACUGCAUUGCGAUGUCUGCAGACACAAAACACCAAAAAGCCACAGUGGCUAUCAAGAAAAUGUCCAGAGUUUCUGGAGUUACGAUCAUUCAAUGUGUUGAGUUGGUGCCUCUCGGAAAGUCCACACCUGACUUCACCCGUAAGCCAAUGGCUACAACUAUUCAAGAAGGU